CUGACCUGCUGUGACACCCCUCCAGCCCUCUUAUUAUAACCUCUUCAUUUACAUACAUAUCGUUACUGCCCGUCCCUGAGGAAGUCAGGACAUGAGCUCAGGCAAGACCGUGAAGUGCCUUAUAAACUGAUGCUCACACAAAGCCCUACAGAGAGGGAAGGAGUCUUCUACACAGAAGGAUGGAGCUUGGUCAGUGUGAGGUCUUCUCCACCUGACUUCUUGUUAGUGAACAGCUCAAGUACAAAG